GACGAACGCUGGCGGCGUGUUUAACACAUGCAAGUCGAGCGAUGAAGCUCCUUCGGGAGCGGAUUAGCGGCGGACGGGUGAGUAACACGUGGGUAACCUGCCUCAUAGAGGGGAAUAGCCUUUCGUAAGGAAGAUUAAUACCGCAUAAGAUUGUAGUGCCGCAUGGCAUAGCAAUUAAAGGAGUAAUCCGCUAUGAGAUGGACCCGCGUCGCAUUAGCUAGUUGGUGAGGUAACGGCUCACCGAGGCGACGAUGCGUAGCCGACCUGAGAGGGUGAUCGGCCACAUUGGGACUGAGACACGGCCCAGACUCCUACGGGAGGCAGCAGUGGGGAAUAUUGCACAAUGGGGGAAACCCUGAUGCAGCAACGCCGCGUGAGUGAUGACGGUCUUCGGAUUGUAAAGCUCUGUCUUCAGGGACGAUAAUGACGGUACCUGAGGAGGAAGCCACGGCUAACUACGUGCCAGCCGCCGCGGUAA
rnacentral:rRNA from 1 species